rnacentral:lncRNA from 1 species
AGAAGCUGAGGAAGAUUGGGUUUAUUGUUUACUCUAUUGGUAAGCCGUUGGACCAGUGGCUCAAGGACAUGCCUGCUCUUGCCUAAACCAAAUCCAAACUAAACAAACAAACAAACCUCUUCCUUAGCUUUUUUUUUUUCAUUUUUUCCCCCGAAUUAUUCUGAAUUUUUCAUAUAAUUUUUUUUUUCCAUUUUAAUAUGUUUUGAACAAUAAUUGUCGGUUCUGUUAUUCUUAUGAAAAUCCAACAGAGAUUUUUAGGUUUGGUUUCUGUUGGUAAUUAUGUACCUUGGGUUAAUCAUAUAUUGUAAGUUUUUUCAAGUAUUAUUACAUGAUAUAAAAAGUUUUCUCGGUUGGAAAUUACAUUCAUUUCUACAUGAGCAUAAGCAUUCGCUAAAAUCUUUUUUUUUUAGUUCUUGAAAACCCAACCCUUAGAAUCAAAACCAACAAGCACCAAAGCAUAUCAUGUCUUAAAAAUAAUAUUUGGUAACAGAACUGAGCUUGGAAUAGGAGCUAUGGAGUGUUCUGAUUCAGCUCCUGAGAUUGUUACUAACCUGGUAAGAGGAACGUUGAGCAUCAAACGCGGGCUAUGCAACAAGAUAUUCUCGUCUAAUCAAGCUCUAGGUGGUCAUCAGACGUUCCAUCAUAUGAGCAAAGGUAAGAGCAAAAAGAGUUUGCACAG